rnacentral:rRNA from 1 species
CAACUUUCAGCAACGGAUCUCUUGGCUCUCGCAUCGAUGAAGAACGCAGCGAAAUGCGAUAAGUAAUGUGAAUUGCAGAAUUCAGUGAAUCAUCAAAUCUUUGAACGCAUCUUGCGCUCCUUGGUAUUUCCGGAGGAGCAUGCCUGUUUGAGUGUCAUUA